GCGCCGUUGGUGUAAGGCGAACAUCGCUGCCCGGAAAGCAGAAGAUGCGGGUUCGAGUCCCGCCUGGCGCG
rnacentral:tRNA from 1 species